rnacentral:rRNA from 1 species
UUCCGGUUGAUCCUGCCGGACCCGACUGCUAUCAGAGUAGGACUAAGCCAUGCGAGUCAACGCCGCAAGGCGUGGCAUACGGCUCAGUAACACGUAGUCAACAUGCCCAGGGGACGUGGAUAACCUCGGGAAACUGAGGAUAAACCGCGAUAGGCCAAGGUUUCUGGAAUGGACCAUGGCUGAAACCUAUACGGCCCCUGGAUUGGACUGCGGCCGAUCAGGCUGUUGGUGAGGUAAUGGCCCACCAAACCUGUAACCGGUACGGGCUUUGAGAGAAGGAGCCCGGAGAUGGGCACUGAGACAAGGGCCCAGGCCCUAUGGGGCGCAGCAGGCGCGAAACCUCUGCAAUAGGCGAAAGCUUGACAGGGUUACUCUGAGUGAUGCCCGCUAAGGGCAUCUUUUGGCACCUCUAAAAAUGGUGCAGAAUAAGGGGUGGGCAAGUCUGGUGUCAGCCGCCGCGGUAAUACCAGCACCCCGAGUGGUCGGGACGAUUAUUGGGCCUAAAGCAUCCGUAGCUUGUUCUGCAAGUCCUCCGUUAAAUCCACCUGCUCAACAGAUGGGCUGCGGAGGAUACUACAGGGCUAGGAGGCGGGAGAGGCAAGCGGUACUCAGUGGGUAGGGGUAAAAUCCUCUGAUCCACUGAAGACCACCAGUGGCGAAGGCGGCUUGCUAGAACGCGCUCGACGGUGAGGGAUGAAAGCUGGGGGAGCAAACCGGAUUAGAUACCCGGGUAGUCCCAGCUGUAAACGAUGCAGACUCGGUGAUGGGUUGGCUUUGAGCCAACCCAGCGCCGCAGGGAAGCCGUUAAGUCUGCCGCCUGGGGAGUACGGUCGCAAGACUGAAACUUAAAGGAAUUGGCGGGGGAGCACCACAAGGGGUGAAGCCUGCGGUUCAAUUGGAUUCAACGCCGGA